AUAUCAUGUUUUCAUUUUGCAUGACUAUGGUUUGUUAAAAGAUCAACCUAUUGCAAGUUCACUUAGAAAGUCCCAAGUAGUAUCACAAACAGGAAAUUAAUCACUAUCAUUUCAUUCUUUUAGUUUUGAAAGCAUCUUUACCAUCAAUGCCUACCAAAAAUAUUAUUGAAGAAGAAACAAUCAUUAGCAAAGUUGAAACAUCUAACUUCUCAUAUAGGUCCAAUGUCCUCUUUAAUUUUCUUAAUGACGUACAUCAUGCAUUCUAUACUGCAGGUGCAUAUGAUCCUCACACGUG
rnacentral:lncRNA from 1 species